rnacentral:lncRNA from 1 species
AUGAACACCAUAAAAACAAACCCAAACACAGAGAAACUUUUACUGUUUUCUAAUCAGGUGGUUAAUGAUAGGGGAAGCUCUUAUUCUUCUACCUUCACUCUUUUAUAUGUUCUCGCUUGUGUCCGCUUUCUCCUCUGCAGCGUGUCUCCUGGGUUUGAGGCCAUUAAGGAGCAGAAUAUCUGCAAUAAAAUCAUGGCCGAGCUCAUCCAAAACUACAGCAACAUCUUCGACAGCAGCCCCGAUGGAGACCAAGAUGGCCUCACUGGCCAUUUACCGACCCUCAUCAUUGUCAAGUGUCUACAGGAAGUUCCCUUGAUGAAUGUGGACAGCGAUCGUUCCCCUGCAGAAACAAGUCCCAGGACCCCAAAGACACCGGUUCAUGUCAAGAAAAAGGUGUGUGUGCGUGUGUGCUUGUUUUGAUUGGAGUGAACAUCUGUGUGAAUGUGUCUUUUCAACACAUUCACUCCAGAAAAAUCUGCUGAAAAAAAGUUUGACUAACACAAGCUACUCUUCUAGCAAAAUCGGAUAGUUAAAAAGAUUAAAGAAAUAAGAAAAAAAAGUAAAUGUUAUUUAAUGUUGAGGUCAAAGUUUGGUGGACGACUGUGUGUAUAGUUUUUCUAUCAAGUUAAAUUGUACCUGUUAUUUCCUGACAAUGUCCAGAAAUUAGUUGUCUACACUAAUCCCUGGAUGACUCAUGAUUUCUCCAGAAAGUUCCUUUUCAUUCCUGAACUCUUGUGACUGAGUAGGUCGUCACAAGUGUGACAUGGACAAUCAGUUUUCCCUAACGCAGUGGGUUCAUGUAAGUGCUGACACGUGAGUGUGUGUCCGUACAUAUUCUGAUAGAAGGGAGCCACUGUGUUAUAUGACAUACGAUACCCUGUUCUAAGAAUUUUGCCAGGGCUUACUAGCACACUUGAUAAAUGUUGUCAGUCUUGCUGAUGCUAACAAGCCGCGAGUUGAAUUCUACUCAGAACAAUAUAUCCACUGCGAUGUCGCUUGGAAAGUCCUGG